rnacentral:rRNA from 1 species
GGAUUAGAUACCCUGGUAGUCCACGCCGUAAACGAUGUCUACUAGCCGUUGGGAAGCUUGUCUUCCAAGUGGCGCAGCUAACGCGAUAAGUAGACCGCCUGGGGAGUACGGUCGCAAGAUUAAAACUCAAAUGAAUUGACGGGGGCCCGCACAAGCGGUGGAGCAUGUGGUUUAAUUCGAAGCAACGCGAAGAACCUUACCUGGUCUUGACAUCCUGCGAACGCUUUAGAGACAAAGCGGUGCCUUCGGGAGCGCAGAGACAGGUGCUGCAUGGCUGUCGUCAGCUCGUGCCG